AGUGGGCAUUUCUGACGUCACACUGCUGAGACCGGCUCUUCUGCUCUUCUGGAGAACAUCAUUGGGGGCCCACCUAGCUCAGGCUUCCCCUCACUCUGGAUCAAAGGAGAGAGGAUUAUGACAGCUCCGUAAGACUUAGAUUCACAGCAUACCUUAGGCAUCCUCCCAAAUUUAUUGUUACCCUUGGAGGACUAACGCUGUGGCACAGCUCACAGGACUCCUGGGCUCUGUUACUCAGGAGAGUCAAGAGAAACAAAGGAAGUGAGUCUCAGAAGCUGCGUCAUGUGCCCCAGGACAAGCAGCUGGAAGACUUCAAGCUCGGAUUUGCCCUCUGCAGGUGAAGCCCAUGUCAGGUCUCUGUUUACAGACCCUCUGGCUACCGCAGGCCAUUCAACAGCUGCUUUGUCUAUUAGAGCAUAAGAAGACAACCUUUGGAUAAUUAAAUAAAAUUUUAAAA